rnacentral:lncRNA from 1 species
UGUGGGAUAGAGAAGCUCAUUACAGAGCAUUAAAGAGAAAAAAAUUGGGUUUUUCUAAGUUCUUGGGAAAACCUCAGUUAACUUCGAGGUGCUUCUCAUUUUAGGGUUUCUUUAGAGUUUGCUCUGCACCCUCACUCUCCUUAUAAACACAGAAAGAACUUCCAGGAUCCUGGGGCAGCCGGGGAUGGUAUCCACCCCCUGCAGGUGCUUCCAGGUUUGGGGGAAACUGAGGCAGAGCAUCCCCAACCCUGCACUGGGAGCACGUCCAUGCCCCACACACACCUCAGAGAACCUACUGGAGCCCCCAUAUCCCCAAGGAAAAUCAGGAAGAGCCCCUUGAAGGGCUUUUCCCCAGAAAAAAACACCAGAGAGGAGGGGAAAUCCAUCCCUGUGGUGGGACUGGGAUGAGGUUCCCGCCAUGGUGGAUAACUCAAAGUGACCUGACUUUUUUUGGAGGAAAAAGGGAGGUUUGGCCAUUUUUUUCCCCAGCCUCCCUGAGUUUUGCAGCAUGUCAGGGACUAACACUGCCACCUACCGAGCCAGGCCUCGUCGUUAAACCUCACAUUUCUGUUUUCUCCACCCAAAAGAGCUUCCCAUGUUUUUAGGAACACACGAGGCCUCUUAAACCAGCCCUGCUCUCUGCAGUGAAUCCAGCCUCUGACUGGGUCCCUUUGGGGUCCCUGUGUGCUGCAGAUCCGGAACCUCAACAGUGGCUUCUCCCAGCUGCGGGCCCUGGUGCCGCUGGUGCCGCGGGACCGCCGGCCCAGCAAGGCAGAGACGCUGCGGGCAGCGGCAGAGUACAUCCGGCUGCUGCGGGGCGUGCUGCGGGGCUGCCGGGUGAGACCCCAAACCCGCCCCUAAAACUGACCCCAGAACACCCUGACACACCCACUGCUGCGGGGCUGCCGGGUGAGACCCCAAACCCGCCCCUAAAACUGACCCCAGAACACCCUGACACACCCACUGCUGCGGGGCUGCCGGGUGAGACCCCAAACCCGCCCCUAAAACUGACCCCAGAACACCCUGACACACCCACUGCUGCGGGGCUGCCGGGUGAGACCCCAAACCCGCCCCUAAAACUGACCCCAGAACACCCUGACACACCCACUGCUGCGGGGCUGCCGGGUGAGACCCCAAACCCGCCCCUAAAACUGACCCCAGAACACCCUGACACACCCACUGCUGCGGGGCUGCCGGGUGAGACCCCAAACCCGCCCCUAAAACUGACCCCAGAACACCCUGACACACCCACUGCUGCGGGGCUGCCGGGUGAGACCCCAAACCCGCCCCUAAAACUGACCCCAGAACACCCUGACACACCCACUGCUGCGGGGCUGCCGGGUGAGACCCCAAACCCGCCCCUAAAACUGACCCCAGAACACCCUGACACACCCACUGCUGCGGGGCUGCCGGGUGAGACCCCAAACCCGCCCCUAAAACUGACCCCAGAACACCCUGACACACCCACUGCUGCGGGGCUGCCGGGUGAGACCCCAAACCCGCCCCUAAAACUGACCCCAGAACACCCUGACACACCCACUGCUGCGGGGCUGCCGGGUGAGACCCCAAACCCGCCCCUAAAACUGACCCCAGAACACCCUGACACACCCACUGCUGCGGGGCUGCCGGGUGAGACCCCAAACCCGCCCCUAAAACUGACCCCAGAACACCCUGACACACCCACUGCUGCGGGGCUGCCGGGUGAGACCCCAAACCUGACCCUACAACUGACCCCAGAACACCCUGACACACCCACUGCUGCGGGGCUGCCGGGUGAGACCCCAAACCUGACCCUAAAACUGACCCCAGAACACCCUGACACACCCACUGCUGCGGGGCUGCCGGGUGAGACCCCAAACCCGCCCCUAAAACUGACCCCAGAACACCCUGACACACCCACUGCUGCGGGGCUGCCGGGUGAGACCCCAAACCUGACCCUAAAACUGACCCCAGAACACCCCCAUAAUGUGGGUUUUGGGAGGCUGAUAGGGAUUUUGUUGCUGUUUUUCAUUUUGGAAUCAAUAAUUUAAUUUAUUUU